UGGCAGUAAAACACGAUGAAACACCAUUUAAUAAAAACGAGUGUGGAGAAGGAACAAAACUUAAUUUCUCAAACUUUAAAGGUUAUUCAGAUUAAAUUCGGUUUCAUUUGUAAAUAUUUGAUGACUUAAAGUCCUAUUACGUGUGUAUGAACUUCAUGUAAGGGAACUAACUUGUGGUUGCACAGACAAAUCAUAGGUUCAGAACUUGAGCAAUUGACUUCAUCCUUAAAUGACCACUAGGCAGACAGCCCACUUCAGCUCAAUUAACUGGUCUAAGUGCCAGGUUUACAUUAGAUGGUUAAUCCAGAUUCUAGUGGCUUUUUCCCUUACAGCCAC